GGCACACAUCUUUGGGGAUGGUCAUGAGGCUGGACACAGGGGAAGGUACAUCAUUCCUCUUAGUAUUAUAGGUCUGUCCUUUGCAGCUGGACAAAUAGUUUUGUCAUUCUAGGUCACACUGGGUGAAGAGAUGCUUCCCUUGGCCUCACAGACAAGCUCUGAGGAAGCAAUUUGCAUCUGCUUUUGCCUUUAUAAAGAGCCCGUAAACCAUCUCUCCGGGAUUAGUGAGCCAUCUUUGAGGAGCGUAUUCUGUUCACCUACAGAGAAGCCAGUCUCAGCUGAGUGGAGAUUUACGUUUCCCAGAGGUGCUCCCAGAGGCAGAGCCCUCAGCCGGAGCCAUGAGGAUUCCCACCACUGCCCCAGUGGCCUCACUUCAAGCAGCAACACACAGGAGACAGUGGAACACUGGGAGGAUUAAUAGGGCUAUGGCAGUGUCACCACUGGCUCUCUUAGAGCCUUCCCCUCUUGGUUGCCUGGUGCCACCCCAGACAUCUUUGAGGGACCCAGCGAACUCAAGGUGAAGACCUCAGAGGACCUUCUCCGCAAAACAUGCAGUGGUUCCUGGCCUGGCACAGAGGACAGACCCACAGAUGCAGUGCAGACCCCUCCCCCCAGCAUGAACUUCUCCUAAGUGGACUCUGCAGCAUCUCCAGACCAGACAUAUCCUUGGCAUUGAUACAGAGGUUACAUAAAUCUCCCUGCCCUUGGGGGACUGAGACAGCUUUGACCCUCUCACCCACAGCGGGGUCUGCAGACAAGAUCCUGACAUCACCCUGUUGUUUAGGAGAGACUCUUUUCAUCAGCACAGCAAGCUGUCUCCAUCCCCGGGGCAACUGUACCGUCCCAGGAGUCGGCAUUUCCAGUCUGACCAGGGGCAAGGCAGCAGCCAGUAUUUCCUGGUCCAGGCACUGGUUCACACUGAGUUUACUAGAGAUCAGAGUCCCCUUGUUAGCUGGACUUUGAGCUGUAUUAGUGGAAGCAAUCACUGUCUCUUAACUAAAGCCCCUCUUCAGGGUCAUAAUGUAAUAAUAGCAGCAACAUCUACAGAGCACUUGCCACAUGCCAGACACCAUCCUGAGCCCUUUACACGUAUUCUUCUAAUUCUUUUAUCUCUAAAGAGGAAUAAAUUAAGGCACAGA